AGUAACGCGUGGGUAACCUGCCUUAUACAGGGGGAUAACAGUCAGAAAUGGCUGCUAAUGCCGCAUAAGCGCACAGAGCUGCAUGGCUCAGUGUGAAAAACUCCGGUGGUAUAAGAUGGACCCGCGUUGGAUUAGCUAGUUGGUGGGGUAACGGCCCACCAAGGCGACGAUCCAUAGCCGGCCUGAGAGGGUGAACGGCCACAUUGGGACUGAGACACGGCCCAG
rnacentral:rRNA from 1 species